rnacentral:misc_RNA from 1 species
CGAACGUGGAGAGGGAGAGUUUCGUGUCUCUCCGAUUAUACUGUCUUCUGCACGCGCUCAAAUCGUGACACCUCGUCAGCUAUUUUAGAUUAUUAUCGCUUGCUCUGUAGACACGGACGAACAUCCUGGACGUCGUCUCCUUUGUUUUGGAGAAGGUGAUUUUUAACAUCUAUAGACGGUAAUCUUUGUGUGGUCCAUUGCUGAAGGAUGAGUCGUUUAAACGAGAGUGGGGGUGUCAGUGUGCCCCUCGAGGAUUACUGGAAGGAAUUCAACAGUUUCGACGACGCGGGUCAGCCGGAUGAAGAUGAAGAGGAUUUCUCCAAGACCCCCGACGAAGGAGAAGCCGAAGAAGAAUGGUUGAGAGAAGCCGGUUUUGAAAACCUUGUCGAUUCAGAACUCACUGAGCAGGAUGAAGCCGAAUUUUAUGAGGACAUUCUAGCCACUUUGACUGCUCGUCAGAUAGCCGUGGUUAAGAAGAGGCUGGACACCGUCCAGAUGUCCAAGAAGAGACGGGUACCUCGCAGCCGUCAUAGAGCGGACGUGAGAGAGCUCUUCAAUCGAGCUUCUAUGUCACCACCUGAGUCACUAUCUACCAUUCAUUCUGAACCUGCAUCUUUAAAUUUUUCCAUCGAUGGUACCAGUCUGUCUUCAAGUGCUCCAGCAGGUGAGCGAUGGCAACACAAGGUGUCUGCUAUCCACCGCAAUACAGAAGGACCACAAGCGUCUCAACAGCCCACCAAGUAUAACAGCGGCAGGGCUCUGCCUCCUCUCCCCUUCCUCCGAACUGGCCACAGCGGAGGAUUUAGUCUCAGGGACCACACUGGAGCCAUAGAUUGUGAAAGUCCAACAAGUGUCGAGGUACUAAGGUACGAAACUAGGAAGUCCAUGAUACAAGAAAGGGAAGGCUCCAAUGGAAUAAAGGAUAUGAACAGCAUCAAUUCUACAGAAAGCUAUUCAUUGGAACCAGGAUUUCAAGAAAUAUCAUCGAGGAUGAACUCAGUCAGUGACCUUGCGGAUAGCGAAAAGGACCUGGUAUCUCUGCAGAGGAAUUCAAACAUCCAGAUGGCAGAUUUGAGCGAGAAUGACCGCAAUUUGGUUCGUUCUUUGGCCAUCAUCGAGGUGGCAGCACUUUUGGACACACAUGGUCUAGUUCCGACGAGGAGGAGAAAACCUAACAGAAAGAAAGGCAAAGAUAAUGUGGUCUUUGGCGCCUCUUUAAAUUCUUUGCUGGAAUUAGAUAGACGGCGGUGUCCAGGUUUGAAAGUUCCUCUUAUUUUCCAAUGGAUACUUCACCAUCUCCAUAGCAACGGACUGCGAGAAGAAGGCUUGAUGCGGCUGGCCGGAUCGGUGCAAAAAGUUCAGGUCUUAAAAGCCGAAAUUGAAAGGAGUUACGUCACUUCACCGAAUUUAGUCGAAAAUCUGAUUCGGCAGUCAUCGGUGCACGACGUUAGCAUCCUUCUGAAGCAACUGGUGCGACAUCUACCGGAACCUUUACUCACCAAUAGUCAUAUGGAUGCUUUCCUUCAAGUGCCAAAUAUCCCAAGUAUCCAAGAUCAAAUGAAUACUUUGAAUCUGUUAAUGCUAGCUCUGCCCGACUCUCACAGGGAACUUCUACAGGAAAUUUUGUAUUUCUUAGCAAAAGUCGUUGAAGAAGAAGAAGCCAACCGUAUGUCUUUGGGCAAUGUGGCAAUGAUUAUGGCACCCAAUCUGUUUCCACCGCCAAGACUGAAAAAAGGCAACCAUAAAAGCAACGAUUUGGCAGCAGAAGUGACUGUCGCCGCGAUGUCAUCCAAAGUUACUCAACUCCUCAUUAAAUAUGGGAAUUUCUUGGGAGCCGUUCCACCCGAACUUCUCGCUCAAGCUCGACUCCAGAACAGAAGAACCUCGAACAAACACGCAAAAAGAGCGGGAAGAAAACAAAAGGGAGACAAGCAGAAAAAUGCUAAAGAUGACAACGUCAGAACCCAUUGUCAUGCGUCACAGAUGUCUUAUGGGAUCUAAGAAAACGGGGGAUUGUUUGAAGGAUCAUUACCUAUAUUUAAUUAGAGAGAACGUUGGUGAAAGAAGACUGGACCAUGCAACAAAUAUUUUGAACAUGACAGGUUCCGGUUCUGGUCGCUUUGCUACCGGUUCCACCUGGGAGAUACGAUGCCACCACUAAAAUUAUCAGUUACUUACUCCAUUAGGCUAUUUUGUGACUCUCUCUCAAGAGCGAUAACUGCCACAUGUGAAUUGCUCAAAAGAUAACUUUCUAUAAUUUAGCGAUCCCAGAUGACCUAUGGCACGAAGAUAGGCCACUGCAAAUGAUGAAUCUUUGGCCAAGAACAUAUGGCAGAAUUGUGAAGAACGUUGGUUUCGCUGCUUUUUGCAUAGCAUUAGUUUAAUGUCACAAACUACGGGCUUUAACGGAGGGUAAAAUACAUCAUUUUCAAUAAUUACUUAAAAAACUUUGUCCUAUGAUUUUGGGCACUAUUAUUCACUUUGUGAAUACUGUUAAAGAAGUCAUAUCAUUUGAAUUUAUGAUAUCUUUUCGCAUUAUUUUGUCGUACAUUCAUUGCCCUUAAAUUUUCAUUGUAAUGUAUUUACUUGUAGUAUGAUCAUGUCGAGUAUAUUUAUGACUGCAACAUCAUCUUAGCAGUAUUAAAUUCUACGCUACUACAAGUAAAGAAAUGAUAAUUUUGAAUUUGGCUAUAAUAAAUGAGUAAUUUUACAUUUCAACAGUGUGUAUAAUAGUAUUACUGCAUGAUGUGUAAAGAUUAUUUGAUGGCCGUUUGCAGUUAUUUAAGGUAGUUAUUCGUUAAAAUUUUCAUGAUCAUUAUUUUCUUCAAAUUGCGGGCAUAGGAUUCGCAUAAGCGUAAAAAAUAAUAAAAAAGAAAUUAUGCUUUUUUUUUUCUCUGUGAAACUGACCGCAUUUGAAAUCCCAGUUUCUGCCAACGUGCUAAAAACUCCCUCACGUAUAUUCCGGAUAAAAAGUGAACGCAAUAUUCACAAAUCUUGCAUUCGGAGGGUUAAAUGCUUUCCGAAGCGUAAUAAAAACCUUAUAUUAAUUUAUUUGAAGUGGAAAUUAAUAUAUAAAUUAAAAUGCCUUUAUUAGUCCAAAUAUAAAAUGAUUGCUUCUGUAUAAAAUACCUUUUUAAAAAUAAAUAUUGUAUAAGCAAACUAAUGUUUUAAAAUAUUUAAAAUUAUUUCAUGUUCUUAACUUUGCAUUAAAAUAAAGCAAUUUUUUUACCUCGAAAUAUAUUAUGUGGACUAUUUUAUUAUCUUUUUGGUAGAAUCUCUUCAACAAAUUAAGCUUAUGUAAUUUACAAGGUAAUUAAAUAUAAGUGAAAAGCUAUUUUCUUUAUAAAAUGGCAUCAAAAAUGAAAAACUUUCUUAUACGCGAACUUAUACCUAAUUUUUGUGAGACAUUAUAUAAAGUGAUCUAACCGACUGUAAAAUGAUUAUUAGUCUAAGAUUUCGAUGUUUAUAUAUAUAAUGAAAUGUUAUAUUGUAGCAUUAUUAUUCAGAAAACUUUGACAUACUGUUUGGAUGCAUUUGUAAAUAAGACCCCCGAUACAAUCGUUUGACCAUAAUAAAAAUUUACUGAAAAA